CAUGAUUUCAUCAUUCAUGCAACAUCUCAGAAACAGCUGUCUCCGUGAAGAGGUAUUUUGUGUGGGGUAGAUUUUUUUUUUUAAUCUUCCGCUUCAGAGCAGUCAGAGUAGUGUUUUAAGUUACUUGAUUUGAUAAAGAAAAGUUUUCAGAAAAAUAUGUAAUAUUUUACCGAUAAGUAAAUGUCUCGUGAAUUUGAUUACUUACCUGGAAUGGAACCAAUGCGUGAUAAUGUUAUAACUACUUCAUCUCAAAUACGAUCUUGCUCAAUGACCACAAGAUUUGGAAAUGACUGCUGAAAGAUUUGAUUCUCAUACUAACGUGGAAAAUCAAAGACUAUUAUGCAGAAUCAAUUAACCCUAUUCAGACGUUGAUAACAAAGGCAGAAGCAAUAUUGCUACGAGAGCCGACACUAUUAAGAAUUGAACCGCCAAUAUAAUUGCAGUAGGCAGGCAAAGAUUCAACGUUGGAUUAUGGAAUAAAUUCUCUGGGUUAUUUGAUUGUUUAUCCUUAGCGGCGAUAAUACAUAGGAAGUAAAAUUUUUUGUUGCCAUGGUGGAAUGAGCCCAGAUUUGAAAACAGCCGAUCAAAUAGUACAUGAGAAGACCAUACCCUAUUAAUACCUUAACUGGUCUUGUUAAUGAUUUACUUUGGCCGGAUCGUUCACGGUUUCAUAAAGGAUGGAAAUAUGUACUUAUAACAAAUAUCGAAGUGUUUCAUUUUUCUGGCAGCGAUGUAAUUGAAAAAUUUCUUUCUGAUAAUAAUUUUCAGCUCGUCGUUAGAGCUCAUCAGGUUAAUCACCGGUGAAUAUCAAAUUUUCGCCGGAGUUGUGCUCAUUGUAAUAAUCAUAUGAACGAAGGAGCGCUUCUACAUAUUGAUGCCAAUUUAAAAUGCUGCUUCAUUAGGCUGAAGAAUAACCGAUCAAAAUGUUGAACGAAACGUGUUCAAAUUAUUCGCACGAAUUGGCGAAUGAUUCGUCUGCCAAUUCCUUCUAUAUUAAAUUGUUUGCAUUUUCUGGAAUGCUGGUUUCCGUAAUAUUCAUCCCUACACAUUUAUUCUUACUGUACGUCACUGACUAUGUGGAAUCAGCCAAAGGAAAAAACUUCUUAUCAUUGAUGGCGAUGUUAUUGUUGAAAUAUUUAUUAAUUUUGCUAAAUACUACAUUAGAUAUUCCAUAUUUCGCUAAAUUUCCGAACGUGCUACUCUUCGGCCUCGUGUACGUUCACAUAUCGUCUACUUGCUGGUUAUGCAUAAUAACGGAGCAUUCGUUAAACAUUAUUAGAAAAAAUAUAUGGAAGACGACGUAUAAUAUUAAAUGGAUUCCGGUGAGCGUAAGUGCAAUAUUAGGUUGGCUACUUCCAAUAUUCUUUGUAUUAUUUGCAUAUUUAUCUUCUAUUACAAUGGGAGAUCGCUUUUGCCAAAAGUACUGUAUACAGAAUUUUUGUCAAAUGAAUAUAUUUUUGGUGACUUUCGAAUUAAUUAGAUUAUCUUUAUUGAUUAAAAGCUCUAUAGAUAUUAUUCGCGUCAAGUAUUACACUUCUUACGUAAUGCCGAGUGAAAUUAACGAAGAAACAAUAAACGAUUUGGAUUAUAUAAAUUUUAGUUAUUUUAUUUGUAUUGUAUUUUAUGUCAGCUGGAUUUUAGAAAUUGUCGUUUACUUUUUGGGUAUUAAUAUUCCUAUUACGGUUAGUUCAAUUGUAAGCUCUAUCGAAGCUAUAUUGAUCGUGCUAGGUACUUUGUGGUGGAAAAAGUGCAUCUCUUCUGCAAAUGUUUCAUAAGUUAUUUGGUGUAUUUUUUGUAAUAGGUAAUUAGAUAUCUGUUCUGAACGAAUCAAUAUUUAAAAUGUAAAUAUUUCUACUUACCUACUCACUGUCAUCUUAUUUAAUUUAUUACAAAUUAUAUGAAAAUAUUAUUCUCUUUACAUAUGUAGCUUCUAUUUAGGUAUGUAUCGUAAAAUUAAUUUAAAGCGUCCUAUUAUGUCCUACUAAGAUAUUAAGUUCAUUACUUGCCUAAAUAGGUAUGUUUUUUAUACGAAUAGAUUAUACUUAAUAGUUAAAGUAACUUUUGAUUAAGAUUAAUAAAUACGAGUAUAUUGCGAAACGAU